UAGGGGGCAAGCGUUAUCCGGAUUUACUGGGUGUAAAGGGCGCGUAGACGGCAUAGCAAGUCUGGAGUGAAAGGCCAGGGCCCAACCCUGGGACUGCUUUGGAAACUGUUAAGCUGGAGUGCAGGAGAGGUAAGUGGAAUUCCUAGUGUAGCGGUGAAAUGCGUAGAUAUUAGGAGGAACACCAGUGGCGAAGGCGGCUUACUGGACUGUAACUGACGUUGAGGCUCGAAAGCGUGGGGAGCAAA
rnacentral:rRNA from 1 species